UUAAGUUUAACGGAGUUAGUUGCAGCUCGAGAGAGUCUCUCGGGAGAGUGGACGUAACCACACGUUGUGGCAAACCAGUGUAAAUUAGGUGUGCUCCCUCCUUACUCUUUUAUUCCGCACUUACUUCGAUUUUAUUUCUGCGAUUAUUGUUAAACGCUAUUCACCCCCUUCCCCCUAGCGUUGAGCACUUAUUCUAACAAAUUGGAGAAGGUGACUGAAACUGGGCAUGGGAAGAUGAGAGAUGGGUUGGGGAGGGGGGAUCGUUUACUUUUUGUUAUUGGUUUUUAGUUUUUUAAGAAAAUAUAUUAAUUAAGGGGAAAUUAAGUAUUUCAUUUUUUCUUGAGUCAUGACACGUGUCACGUCUUUAUUGGUGCAUGACAUCACAGAAAUUUUGACAAACUGCUUAAGAAAAAAAUAAUAUGUUUCAGCUAUACUUUAAUAGAUUGAGUGUGUAAGAUAAUUUUUGUUGGCAAAAAAUGUGUAACAGAGAUUUGGUCCAUAGUUGAGGGGUAAGUUAUGUAUUUUCCCAAAAUAAAAUCGAGGAGCACAAUUUCAUCUAUCAUGGAAUCCAGGACCAGGACGCAAAUUUGAAAAGCUACAUUCUGGAUUUGAACUGUAUGUCCUAAUCACAAUUAUCAUAAAUAGCUGAUGAUGUAUACAUAUCGAUCGACGAACGGGGUCAUAAAACUCUUUGUCAUUAAAUUCGUUAUAUUAUUUCAGAGUAAAAUGAUGAAAGUUCAUACGUAUACAUAUUCUUAACUUUUUCAAUACAAUUUGCAAAAUUUUAUGUCCUUAAUAUUAGUAACAACAGUCAUGUUGAGAUACAUA
rnacentral:lncRNA from 1 species